rnacentral:tRNA from 1 species
CAAUAUAGCUCAGUCGGUAGAGCGGCUCACUCGUAAUGAGCAGGUCGUGGGUCCGAUUCCCACUGUUG